rnacentral:rRNA from 1 species
AUUGAACGCUGGCGGCAGGCUUAACACAUGCAAGUCGAGCGCGCGGCGGACGUGUGAGUACUUUCUGGGCAACUGCCUGAUGUCGCGGGCUAACUACUGGAAACUUUAGCUAAUACCUCAUACCAUCAUAUGUGCCCUGAGUGGUUUAGCUAGUAGGUGGGGUAAUGGCUCACCUAGGCGACGAUCCCUAGCUGGUCUGAGAGGAUGACCAGCCACACUGGAACUGUGACACGGGCCAGACUCGUACGGGAGGCAGCAGUGGGGAAUAUUGCACAAUGGGCGCAAGCCUGAUGUAGCAAUGCCGCGUGUGUGAAGAAGGCCUUCGGGUUGUAAAGCACUUUCAGCGAGGAGGCGGUAAACGAAGAAGAAGCAAAGGCUAACUCCGUGCCAGCAGCCGCGGUAAUUG